GGAGUUAGCCGGUGCUUCUUCUGUGAGUGAUGUCCUUCCUGCCGGUUAUUGACCCGCAGGCCUUCUUCCUCACUGAAAGUGCUUUACAACCCGAAGGCCUUCUUCACACACGCGGCAUGGCUGGAUCAGGGUUGCCCCCAUUGUCCAAUAUUCCCCACUGCUGCCUCCCGUAGGAGUCUGGGCCGUGUCUCAGUCCCAGUGUGGCUGAUCAUCCUCUCAGACCAGCUACGGAUCGUCGCCUUGGUGAGCCGUUACCUCACCAACCAGCUAAUCCGACAUAGGCUCAUCCGAUAGCGCGAGGCCCGAAGGUCCCCCGCUUUCCCCCGUAGGGCGUAUGCGGUAUUAGCCUGGGUUUCCCCAGGUUAUCCCCCACUACCGGGCAGAUUCCUAUGCAUUACUCACCCGUCCGCCGCUCGCCACCAGGGAGCAAGCUCCCCGUGCUGCCGCCGACUCGUCAUGUGUAGUCGUCGCGCCGACGCGUCUACUACUGAGCGACGAGUACAACUACUACGUACGUACGAGGACGGGCGGUCGGACGACGGACGGCGACGUA
rnacentral:rRNA from 1 species